AAGAGUUUUAUUUGGUGUACACUUCCAUAUUGUCAUAGUCAACUGAAGAAAGUCAGGACAGGAACUCAAGCAGAGCUUGAGGCAGAAACUGAUGCAGAGGCCAUUGAAGGGAGCUGCGUACUGGCUUGUUUGUCAUGGCUUGCUUAGCCUACUUUCCUAUAGAACCAGCCCAGAGAUGAUAGCACCCACAAUAGACUGGACCCUCCCCCAUCAAACACUAAUAAAGAAUAUGCCCUACAGCUGGAUCUUAUUGGAGUCAUUUUCUCAAUUGAGGUUCCCUCCUUUCAAUUGACUCUAUCUUGUGUCAAGUUGACACAAAACUAGCCAGGACAUCCCUUCUUCAGACAGACCCUCUAUCUGUCUCUCAACAGGCUGUAUUUUUAUUCAUUGCUUUUGUGUCUCUGUGGCAGAAUGCCUGAGAGAAGCAAGUUAUAGAAGAACACACUUGGUGCUGGAGAGAUGGCUCAGAGGUUAAGAGCACUGACUGCUCUUCUGAAGGUCCUGAGUUCAAAUCCCAGCAACCACAUGGUGACUCACAACCAUCUGUAAUGGAUCUGAUGCCCUCUUCUGGUGUGUCUGAAGACAGCUACAGUGUACUCAUGUACAUUAAAUAAAUAAAUAAAAAGAUGAGAAGGGGGAAGAGGGAAAGGAGAAAAGGAAGAGUCAUAAGAAUAAUAAUGAUGAAGAUGACACUUAUUUUUGGAUCAUUCAGAUGGUCUCUGUCCAUCAUGAAAAGAAAGACCUGGAAGAGUGGUUCAGAUGAUGUCAACAGGAAUAUGUGUUAUGGAAUGUUCAUGUGGCAACUGCAACUGCCCAGGCAGCAGAGACAAGGGCAAUUCCAGUGCCCCCUGGCUUUCUCCUUUUCCCUUUCAUUUCAUCUGGACCCUGCCCAUGAGAUAAUUAAUGAAAGCACAUCGGGGAUGGGUAUUUUUCUAUCUGUUAACCAGCUAGAUAUGCCCCAUGGACAAACUAAAAAGGAGCCUCGGUGUCUCAGGUUAUUGUAAAUCCAGUCAGACUGACAAUGAAAGUAAUCACAAUAGCUUGCUUUCUGUGUUGUAACCCCCGAAUUAGUGAUACUAGAGAGAUGUCAGUGUUGUGUACAGACAGUUUGCCUCUGCAUUCCCUGCCCUCCCCCAGAAGCUCCCAUCCUCCCUCUAUCCUGGGGCAAGCACAAUAUGCAGACAACUGGUUUCUGUGCUGUGUCCUCCUGCAGCAGUCGGGGCUCCUUCCCCUUCCCCUGGCGUUAGAAUGGUACUACCCAUAAAACUCCCCUUAAUGAAGACAUUCUGAGGAGACAUCCUCCUUUGUGUCUCCAAAAAUCAACACUCCUGCUGAUAAGCAGCAGAACUCCAGAUGCCUGUCUUUGAGACCUUAGAGAAAUAACAAGCUCAAGGGAGACCAUGGAAAAAAGGUAAACAGAGGUCAGGUCACAGACAGUUACAACUGGCCAUAAAAUUAGUCCCUGAACAGACACCCAUUAACACUCCCCCUUCCCGAUACACUACCAAUCCACCAAAUGAUUACAGCCCUCUAAUCCCCUUUUCUGUAGGGAUUCCUAAACUAAACUGUAUAUAAACCCAGUGUUUUCUGGACUCAGGGUCGUUUGCCAGCAUUCACGUAGUGAGUGUGAGGCAGGAGAGCUGAGUUCAAACUUUAAACAAUAAAAGACUCUUUCGAGUUGCAGUGGACUUUGCAAUUCUUGAGCUCAUCUGGAUUUCCCGUGGACUCAGGGCACAACAUUUGUAAUUGUGAUAAGCACUAAGGCCAAAAAGCAACUAAGGAAGAAAGGUUUAUUUAGUUUAGACUUUCACAUCAAGUCCACCUUUGAGGGAAAUCAGGACAAGAACUCAAAGCAGGAACCUGGAGGUAAGAACUAAAGCAGAAAGUGGAGGAACAAUGUUUGCUGAAUCUCUCGGGCUCUGUUCAGCCACCAUUUCUAUGUGAUGGCUAAAGAAACUCCAUUUUUAUGCCAGACAUCCAUCUUGGUACCCACUGUGAAACUAUCUCAAAGGAAAAGGAAAAGGAAAAGGAAAAGGAAAAGGAAAAGGAAAAGAAAAAGAAAAAAAAAAAAAACCAAAAACACACAGAGAAACAGAAUUGACUGCCUUCUCAUGGGUACACACGCACGCAAGAAAAUGCAAGGAUGUGUGAAAAUUUAUGCUACAGCCAUACCUAGGUUUUCUCAGUGCUUCCCAAAACAAAGUACAAGAGCUUCAGAUUUUAAAGGACUCUACUAGUGUCUGUGACCUGGUACCCUCCUACCAGCAGAGGAAACCUCCCACCGUCCUUUUUAGUCCAUUGAAGCGCGCUUCCGGAAGUCCCGCCCCUUCCGGAAGUGAUGCCGCGGAACGUCCCGGAAGUUAACGGCGUCUAUAGGCAUGGGGCUUGUGAGUUGUGGUGUAGAGCAAUGGCACAUGCUCUCUUGAAACGUAGCGGCGUCCGCCGCGGUCUGGGCGGCAGGGAGGGUCCCCUGAAACGGCUGCGGCUGGCCGUGGAAGACUUCGUGCGGACUACCUCCGAGAGCGAAGCCUGCGAGAGCCGCAGCGCUGUGGCGCGCUCCCGGCCCGGCGGCCGAAAGAGCCGCAAGGAGCUUCGUAAGGAGAAGCGACACCUGAGGAAAGCGCGGCGCCUGCAGAGGACAGUAGGCUCCGGGUCAGGGGACCAAGGGGGGAAUGUCGGCCUUAACGAUGGCCCGGAGACUCGACGACCGCCCACUGAGGUGAGACCGACGCCCGCCAAGGCCACAGCAACCCCUGCCAAGGCCAGUGCCCCCUCCACUAACACCAAGGCCUCGGCGGCCCAGCCGAAGGCCAAGGCUAAAGGUGCUCCUGGAAAGCCUGGUCCCGCCACCGCCACCGCCCGGAAGCGGGCACUUCUAGCGGCCAACGAGGAGGAGGACCGAGAGAUCCGAAAGCUGGAACGGUGCCUCGGCCUCCACAAGCGUAAGAAGAAGGGCGAUGGUAGCUCGGUGCCGCUCAGCUUCGCGCGCGACGGUCUGGACUACAUCCUGGGGGCCCUGGAAUGUGGGAGCGGCGGCGGCCUGUACGAAAGCAGCGAGGAAGAGGAGGAAGAAAAGUUGGAGACUGGACAGACAGUCUUGGAGAGUGACCUAGAGAGCAAUUCUAAAGAAAGUGAGGAGGACCCAGACUGGCAAGUGCUGCAGGAGGAUCAGGAAGAUGUAAACUCGAAAAGGAGAGGAGAAGCAGAAAGUGGGACUCGGGGAAAUAAAGGGACUAAGAAAGUGCGUUUUGCAGAAGUUGUAGAAAAGAGCAGAAGCUCUUCGGAAGAUGACAUAGAACAGCAGGAGAGUCACUCUGUUGAAAGUGGUGAAAAGUACAUCCCUCCUCGGCUGAGGAACGAGGAGGUAAUAGAUGUCCACAAGAAAGAAGAGCUAGACAGGCUCAAGAAACAUGUUAAAGGCCUAAUUAACAGGUUGAGUGAGCCAAACAUGGCUUCUAUAAGUGGGCAGCUAGAGGAGCUGUACAUGGCCCACAGCAGGAAGGACAUGAACGAUACCCUGACCACUGCCCUCAUGGAUGCCUGUGUCACUGCCUCAGCCAUGCCCAGCAGACUGAUGAUGGAGCAUGUCUUCUUAGUCAGCAUCCUCCACCACACGGUCGGAAUAGAGGUUGGUGCUUGCUUCCUUGAAGCUGUGGUAAAGAAGUUUGAUGCUAUCUAUAGAGAUGGAGGUGAGGGGAAAGAACUGGACAACCUCUUUACCAUGAUUGCCCAUUUGUACAACUUCCACGUGGUACAGUCUAUCCUCAUCUUUGACAUUUUAAAGAAGCUUGUUGGAACUUUUACGGAAAAAGACAUUGAGCUGAUCCUGUUGAUGCUGAAAAAUGUGGGCUUUGCAUUGAGAAAAGAUGACGCCUUGUCACUUAAGGAACUGAUCACAGAAGCCCAGACCCAGGCCAGUGGUGCAGGCAACAAGUUUCAGGACCAGAACAGGGUACGGUUUAUGUUGGAAACAAUGCUGGCUCUGAAGAACAAUGACCUGCGUAAAAUCCCUGGUUAUAAUCCUGAGCCUGUGGAAAAACUGAAGAAGUUACAAAGAACUCUGGUUCGAAAUGCUGGCUCAGGUUCUGAGACUCGGCUUCGCAUCUCCUGGGAUGGCAUCUUGAAUGCAGAGCAGACUGGUCGCUGGUGGAUUGUGGGGUCUGCAUGGAGUGGGACCCCAAUGAUUGACAACAGUCAUCACAUACAACUUCAGAAGCCACUUGCAGGCAUGGCUAGCUCUAAGAUGCUGGAGCUUGCGAGGAAGCAGAGAAUGAACACUGAUGUCAGGAGGAUCAUAUUCUGCACUUUAAUGACAAGUGAGGACUUCUUGGAUGCCUUUGAAAAGCUGCUGAAGCUUGGACUGAAGGACCAGCAGGAGAGAGAGAUAGUUCAUAUCCUCAUGGAUUGCUGUCUGCAAGAGAAAACCUACAACCCUUUCUAUGCUUUCCUGGCCAGCAAAUUCUGUGACUAUGAAAGGAGAUUCCAGAUGACUUUCCAGUUCAGCAUAUGGGACAAAUUUCGGGACUUAGAAAAUUUGCCAGACACUAAGUUCUCAAAUCUGGUUCAUCUGCUGGCACACUUGUUGAGGACAAAAUCACUUCCACUUUCUGUUCUAAAGGUAGUUGAAUUCAGUGAAUUGGAUAAACCCAGAGUUCACUUCCUACGGAGGGUGUUGACUGCACUGUUGAUGGAAACUGAAGACGACGACUUGGCUGUAAUUUUUUCAAGGUAUGUGCCUAGUGUUCCCUGAUUGAACGUAGGAAGACUUCUUGCUCUUGCUCCUUCGCCUGCUUGCUGCGUGAGACUGAGUAACUGCUAGAUCCUUGGACUUCCAUUCACAGCUGCGACUAAACAAUUGUUGGGAAUUGGGCUGCCGACUAGUGUCUGACAACCCAAAGCUGGGAAUGUUGCGAGAAGGCCUGAAGCUCUUCAUUGGCCACUUCUUACUGAAGCACACACAGGCUCACCAGAGUGCUGAGGAAGCCAGUCUGCUGAGAGAGAAGGCUGGCCUUGCAUCUAAGUCUUUACAGGGCAAAGCCAUCCUGAGAAUGUAGCCAGAGUAUAGGGAGCAUUUGACCAAGAGAUGUGGUUUGUGAAUUCAAGGCAGUCCUGCCUCUAAGAACAGGAGGAUUAUGCCAUGCUUUGUCAGGGUUUAAAUAUUGUAUUUUCAGAUUUUUAGAGUAUUAUGUACUUCAAAUGUAUAUGUAUGUAUAUAGCAGGUCAGGGGAAAGGGGGAGAAAAGAUUAAGCCAUGAGGAGAGGGUUGGGACCAUAAAUUGAUGACUAUUUUUUAUCUUCUAAAAUGUUGGUUAAAAGUUUAAAAACUGGGCACAUGGUGGCACGUGUCUUUCAUUCUAGCACUCGGGGAAGCAGGGGCAGGCAGAUCUCUGAGUUCCAGGCCAGCCUGGUCUACAUAGUGAGUUCUAGGACAGCCAGAGUAAAUUGUGUGACCUAUCUCAAAAAAAAAAAAAAAAAAAAAGUUCUAAUGCCUUAAGAAAGUGUGGUGCUUAGGCUCUGAUAUCUCCCACUCCGAAAUCCCACUCACUUCAGGUAGGUAUUGAGUACUUGGGAAGAAGAGACAAAAAAGAACAGAGAUAAGGAGCUGGCAAGAUGGCUCAGCUGGUAAGAGCUCGGACUGCUCUUCAAAAGGUCCUGAGUUUCAUAUCCCAGCAACCUCAUGGUGGCUCACAACCACCCGUAAUGAGAUCUAACGCCCUCUUCUGGUGUGUCUGAAGACAGCUACAGUGUACUUAUGUAUAAUAAUAAAUAAAUAAAUCUUUGGACCAGAGCGAGCAGGCUCUUAAGUGAGCAGGGUUGACCAGAUCAAGCGGAGCCAACCAGAGCAAGUGGAGGUCCUAAAUUCAAUUCCCAACAACUACAUGAAGGCUCACAACCAUCUCUACAGCUACAGUGUACUCAUACACAUAAAAUAAAUAAAUCUUUUUUUUAAAAAAAGAACAGAUAACAUGAUUGUGUUAGGUAAGGGUAGCAUGGGCUCACAGACUGAAGAAGGAUGCAUGGCUUCCAUGAGUCCUCUUUAUAGCCUUAAAGUUUGCUUUCUCUCAAAUGCGGUGAACUUGACUAACCCUGACCUUCAGUUGUAACUAACGAGAAGUAGAAAAGUUCUAAAUUAGAGCUUUUACACCCAGCGAUGUCCUAUGUGGAGUGCCCUUUUCAGACAGGCAGGCAGGCAGGCACAGACAAGGAAUGCUGUUCCUAUGAGAUUCACCCCUUCUGUCAGUUUUGAACAGCAUAUCCCUGUAGCAUUGUGUUUGAGAUGACCGUGUAUGGUCAGGAGGUCUCCAUGCAGGUCCCUGAGAACUGAGCCGUGAAGUGAGCCAGCAGUGCCUGCUGCUGUUCUUGUUGCUAUGACAACACCUGACACGAGCAGCAUAAGGAAGGGUGGCCUGGGCUCAUACUAUGUAGGUACAUCAUAGUGGGGCAUCAUGCAGCAAGAGCUCAAGGCAUCUGGUCACAUUGCACCUGCAGUGAGGAAGCAGAGAGAGACACAUGUACUCGGUUCACUUUCUCCUUUUCAUUAAGUCCAAGCCCCCAGCCCAUGUUCAGCCCAAUCAAGAAACUCUUACAGCCACUCCCAGAGGUUUGCCUUCUAGGUGAUUUGGAUCCUACCAAGUGGGCAGUGUAUAUAGAUUUGGGGGUUGAGAGUAAAGCUCCAUAGAGCACUUGUUCAAACUCUAGACUCACUCAACUUUAAACAAAAAAGAAAAGUACUUUUUUAACUUACCUUUUCUAAAUUUUAUUUAUGUUUGAGUAUAUGGACAUGUGUACAAGUGCUUUUGAAGGCCAGAAGAAGGAUGUCCUGGAGCUGGAGUUCCAGGUGGUUGUGUCUGCCUAAUUCGGGUUCUGGGAACCAAACUGAGCUCCUCUUAGGAGAACAGCAAACACUCUCAACCAGGCCAGAUCUCCAGCCCCAGGUAUGUCUUUUUUCCCUACUCCCACCAGGUUAUCUCCUUGUAACCCUAGCUGUCCUGGGACUCAAUUUGUAGAUUAGAGAUCUAUACUAGAGAUCAAUACAUGAUCACAGAGAUUCACCUCUUCACCCCACCCUCCAUGGAAUUAAAGGUAUAUAUCAUCAUGCCAGGCCCUAAUUCUGUCUGUGUGAUGCUUACAGUAAAGGUUAAGAACUAACGUAUAAGGUGCAGUGGCACACACCUUUAAUCCCCACGCUUUGGAUACAGAGGCAAGCAGAUCAUUGACAGUUCUCAGCCAGCCUGGUCCUCAUAGCAAGUACCAGGACUAAAGAACUUGUCUCAAACAACAACAGACAUGUAUAGAAUCACUUUUAAAAGGGGGAAUUUCAUCUGUAAAAUAAAGAUGUAAGUUUUAUGUAAAAAUAA